rnacentral:rRNA from 1 species
GUUUUUAACUCAAGUGGCGGACGGGUGACCCAUACCAAGGAAUUUGCCUUUAGGAGGGGGAUAACAACUGGAAACGGUUGCUAAUACCCCAUAUGCUUUCGAGUGAAAUGGAUUUUUCCGCCUAAAGAGAAGCUUGCGGCUGAUUAGCUUGUUGGUAAGGUAAUGGCUUACCAAGGCGACGAUCAGUAUCUGGUUUGAGAGGACGAUCAGACACACUGGAACUGAGACACGGUCCAGACUCCUACGGGAGGCAGCAGUGGGGAAUUUUCCGCAAUGGGCGAAAGCCUGACGGAGCAAUACCGCGUGAGGGAUGACGGCCUAUGGGUUGUAAACCUCUUUUUUCAGGGAGGAAUCAAUGACGUGUACCUGAAGAAUAAGCAUCGGCUAACUCCGUGCCAGCAGCCGCGGUAAGACGGAGGAUGCAAGUGUUAUCCGGAAUCACUGGGCGUAAAGCGUCUGUAGGUGGUCAAAUAAGUCAACUGUUAAAUCUUGAGGCUCAACCUCAAAAUCGCAGUCGAAACUAUUAGACUAGAGUAUAGUAGGGGUAAAGGGAAUUUCCAGUGGAGCGGUGAAAUGCGUAGAGAUUGGAAAGAACACCGAUGGCGAAGGCACUUUACUGGGCUAUUACUAACACUGAGAGACGAAAGCUAGGGUAGCAAAUGGGAUUAGAUACCCCAGUAGUCCUAGCCGUAAACAAUGGAUACUAGAUGUUGAACAGAUCGACCUGUACAGUAUCAAAGCUAA